AUUGAACGCUGGCGGCAUGCUUUACACAUGCAAGUCGAACGGUAACAGGGAGCUUGCUCCGCUGACGAGUGGCGAACGGGUGAGUAAUGCAUCGGAACGUGCCGUGUAGUGGGGGAUAACGUAGCGAAAGUUACGCUAAUACCGCAUACGCCCUGAGGGGGAAAGUGGGGGACCGCAAGGCCUCACGCUAUACGAGCGGCCGAUGUCGGAUUAGCUAGUUGGUAGGGUAACGGCCUACCAAGGCGACGAUCAAUAGCUGGCGUGAGAGCGCGACCAGCCACACUGGAACUGAGACACGGUCCAGACUCCUACGGGAGGCAGCAGUAGGGAAUAUUGGACAAUGGGCGAAAGCCUGAUCCAGCCAUGCCGCGUGAUAGAUGAAGGCCCUCUGGGUUGUAAAUAUCUUUUAUCUGGGAAGAAACUCCUCUAUUCUUAGAGGCCUGACGGUACCAGAGGAAUAAGCACCGGCUAACUCCGUGCCAGCAGCCG
rnacentral:rRNA from 1 species